CCAGACUCCUACGGGAGGCAGCAGUGAGGGAUAUUGGGCAAUGGGGGAAACCCUGACCCAGCGACGCCGCGUGUGGGAAGACGGUCCUCUGGAUUGUAAACCACUGUCCCCAGGGACGAAGAUGACGGUACCUGGGGAGGAAGCUCCGGCUAACUACGUGCCAGCAGCCGCGGUAAUACGUAGGGAGCGAGCGUUGUCCGGAAUUACUGGGUGUAAAGGGAGCGUAGGCGGGGAUGCAAGUUGGGUGUCAAAACUACCGGCUCAACUGGUAGUCGCACUCAAAACUGCAGCUCUUGAGUGAAGUAGAGGCAGGCGGAAUUCCUAGUGUAGCGGUGAAAUGCGUAGAUAUUAGGAGGAACACCGGUGGCGAAGGCGGCCUGCUGGACGGCAACUGACGUUGAGGCCCGAAAGCGUGGGGAGCAAACAGGAUUAGAUACCCCAGUACUG
rnacentral:rRNA from 1 species